AGCACUGCCCCACGUGCAGCUGCAGCACACCCUGGAAGUGCAUAUUCACAUAGUAAGCAAACUCUUUGGGCAUGCUGUGAAUGCUCUUUUUGGGAAGCACGUUGUCAUAGUAAUGAUGGGGCAGGGAAUGGCCAUCUGGAUGCAAAGAGAACGGCCAGAAUCCAUAGAGUGUAAUGUGUUGGCACAACUCCAGGGCAGCAUUCACUAGAAUGAAACCGGAGGAGAGGCGAUAGACGUGAAAACCAUGAUCACGCCAGUACUUGCUUAGAGCACUCAGGUACUGAGGGUGGAAGAAAAUGAUGUGAGACUGGGAGCCAGCGUCCUCUAAGGCAUAGAAUGCUCGCUCAAAAUUCAUGGAGAAUGAUGUCCCAUACUGGUGGAGCAGAGAUCUGGGAGAGAGUUGAUGCCACCUGCUUUUAGACAUCUACUACACAGGACAAGGAGUACCUAUAUUCUUCACUAAAUAUGAAGAGCAUUUAUGCAGCUAGGUGAGAUUGAAUAGUUCCCAUCAGAGCUCCUCCCAACAGCAGCAGCUGGGAGCCCCUCUGCCUGACUUGAUGUCACCCUUGAGAGGAUCAGCUCACUGAAACGACUGGAAAUUCUAUUAAUCUCUAGUAGUAAGAUAAAACAAUCAGUCUUG